rnacentral:rRNA from 1 species
GGCGGACGGGUGAGUAAUGCUUAGGAAUCUGCCUAUUAGUGGGGGACAACAUCUCGAAAGGGAUGCUAAUACCGCAUACGUCCUACGGGAGAAAGCAGGGGACCUUCGGGCCUUGCGCUAAUAGAUGAGCCUAAGUCGGAUUAGCUAGUUGGUGGGGUAAAGGCCUACCAAGGCGACGAUCUGUAGCGGGUCUGAGAGGAUGAUCCGCCACACUGGGACUGAGACACGGCCCAGACUCCUACGGGAGGCAGCAGUGGGGAAUAUUGGACAAUGGGGGGAACCCUGAUCCAGCCAUGCCGCGUGUGUGAAGAAGGCCUUUUGGUUGUAAAGCACUUUAAGCGAGGAGGAGGCUACCGAGAUUAAUACUUUUGGAUAGUGGACGUUACUCGCAGAAUAAGCACCGGCUAACUCUGUGCCAGCAGCCGCGGUAAUACAGAGGGUGCAAGCGUUAAUCGGAUUUACUGGGCGUAAAGCGCGCGUAGGUGGCCAAUUAAGUCAAACGUGAAAUCCCCGAGCUUAACUUGGGAAUUGCAUUCGAUACUGGUUGGCUAGAGUAUGGGAGAGGAUGGUAGAAUUCCAGGUGUAGCGGUGAAAUGCGUAGAGAUCUGGAGGAAUACCGAUGGCGAAGGCAGCCAUCUGGCCUAAUACUGACACUGAGGUGCGAAAGCAUGGGGAGCAAACAGGAUUAGAUACCCUGGUAGUCCAUGCCGUAAACGAUGGGUACAACCCGUUGGGGCCUUUGAGGCUUUAGUGGCGCAGCUAACGCGAUAAGUAGACCGCCUG